AAGUUCGGAUGGAGUCCAAUUCUUGUAGGAGUCCGGAAGGAGGCCACUUAUUGUAGAAGUUUGAAUGGAGAUCGGUUGCCAUGGAAGCCUAGAUGGAGACCGCUUAUUGUAGAAGCUCGGCUGAAGUCCGCUUGCAAUAGAAGUUCGGACGAAAUCGCUUACUGUAGAAGCUCGGAUGAAAUUCGGAAGGCGGUCGUCCACCGUAGAAACUUGGAUGGAGUCUAGUUACUAUAGAAGUCCUGUUGCUAGAGAAGCUCGGAUAUUGAUGAAGUCCAAAAGAAGCUCGAAGUAAAGUCGAUCCUGAUAGGAGG
rnacentral:lncRNA from 1 species